CCUAAAAGGAAUAACAACGGGUCUCGUGCAGUUGAGGCUCGAGCGCUGGCUGUUCAGGGUAGUUAAACUGAAUCCGAGACGAUAUUAAGGUUAAAUGGUUUAACUACCUGAAGCGUUUCCUGAAUGUGUGUCGUUGACAAAUUAACAGUCUCAAGUUAUGAAGAGGAGAAAAGUUUUUAAUUCAGAAAUUGCAACAAGGAAAAGACCCAAAACUAAAACCUUCUCCAAGGAUGGUCAGUUGAUACGGCCAGUGAAAGGACUGUCUAAAGCUGAGAUUCAAGACCUGAUACAGAAAGAAAUUCUCGCAAAACUGAAACAGUCAGAUGAAAAGAUGGAUGAACUCAUUGGAAGAAUCCAAAAAAUUGAGUUGAUUUCCAGUUAUGAGGGAAGGCUUUACAAACUCCAAGCAGACAUUAAGAAGAUAAAAAGGAGGGGGCAGGCUGCUUUGGUAUACAUGAGAAAACUGCAACCAUCAGGGACAGAAAUGUCACCCGAAGAACUCAAUCAGAGGGCUUCCUUCAGCAGUAUGGGUUCUGAGCUAUCAUAUACUAUGGAUUCAGCAGCCUCUGUACAUGUGCCACCCGGGCUUGUUCCUUCUGAGACUACGGUCAGAGACCACACAGAUGUGGUCUCUUCCACAGGAGAAAAACUAAAUAAAAUCCACACAACUGGAUAAUUCUUACAAGGUUUGUUUCCAAUAAGCCAGUGCAGAAUUGUGAGACUGCCUCUGUGGAAUGUAAAGCUUUGUUUUGCUUGACCUUCAGGAUUUUUUUUCCUUGGCCAUGGGCUAUGCAGUUUUGCUCCUGUGGAUCAAAGUGGCAAUAAACAGCCGUCUGCUCUUUCUGAGAAAGUUUCAUUGUGUAAUAGAAGGAGUGGAAGCACUCCUUGAGAACAUUCCAGAGGUUUCUGUCCUCACUUGAUACCUGAGAGAAAAUGUUUAAUGUAAUAUCAAAUGCCCUUUGAAGCUGAACAGCAGUUUUAAGUGUCAAGUCCACUAAUUCUUCAGAAAUAUGUCGCAAAGCACUUUCUACUCUGUGAAAGCUGAUCAGUGCCAUCUAGUGCUUUCAAGAAGUAUUUCUGAAAAUUACUAUGGCUCCUGGUUAUGCUUUGUUGGAGCACCAUCUCAACCUGCCUGCACACCCCAAAGUUUUGAGACUCAGUCCAACACUCAAGGCUGCGCAGAAGUCCAGGAAGAAACUGAGGAGGUGAUAUAUUGCGGGGUCAUGUUGCCUAAAACGAGUACCGUUGAAGGAUCUUGCCAGAAGCAGCUCAAAGGGAAUCCUGCAGUUGAUCUCACAUCUGAAAGCAAAGAAGAGGACACAGCGGGAGCAUUGAACUCAAGCAGGGAAGGUAACGACACAGCAGUCGGCCCAUCCCAAAUGCAGCCAUUGAAAAAUACAAAAAAUAUUCAUUCAGGAGUAGGAAUGCUGAGACAAAGUACACCGGAAGCUCCUCCUCAUUGGACCCAUGCUGAGGGUGACUGGCUUUCGAAACAGCCCCCCCUUCCUGCUAUUUCGCUUCCGAACUACCUGCUGUUUCAGGCCGAGGUAACACAGCCACCUCAGAAGCUGGGGGUGGAGCAAAUCGAAAGGCCUGAAGGGAUUGGCCUGCAGUGGACUGCUAUCCAGGCACAGCCCUGCACCUUUACUGGACAGUUCUUCCCACUACUUCACCCGGACACACAGCUGCGGCUGAUAUUUGGAGUGGAGCAACAUAGAAGUGAUCAAAGUUAUACCUAUUCCCAUGACCUAUAAGUUGACCUUCUAUGGCACAGGGCAUUGAUUCUACUUCACUAAUGUGGCAAACAUAAGUGUAGCAUUUUUGUGAUGUUUUUUCAUCAUAAGUACAUGAAUUGGACCUCGGCUGCAACUUUAGAGUUUAGUGUUGUAUCAGAGUUGUAGUGUAAGCACAUGAAAAUGAUUUGAUAUGUUUAACGUUUUUGUGUCCUGGGAUACUAUUCAGUUUAUGCCCUGAGGCAUUUGAAUGUCAUGCAAAUGUCAAACGACAGCUCAACGAUAAGAGAAUGAGCAACAUUGCAGGUGAAGGGUGUUUUGUUCGUUUUUUUUUUUUUUUUAAAGUACAUUGAAUUGGAACAAUCCACAUUGUACAGUACCAAAGGUGGUGUCCCAUAUCAUCAUCCACUGAAGAUCUUGAGAGCUGGAGCUUUGUGAUUUUAUCACAUUGCAAAAACCCAGACGUGUUAGGCUGAUGUAACACAAACCAAUUUAAUUAGCAUACAAUAAAGAGAGCGAUGGCAUUUUGAAAUAAUACAAAAAAAUCAACAGUGAAACAAUUCAUAGAAGUCUACAAAAUAAAUAGUUCUUUUGUUUUCCCCAA